GGAUCCCAUCAGAACUCCGCAAUUAAGCGUGCUUGGGCGAGAGUAUUACUAGGAUGGGUGACCUCCUGGGAAGUCCUCGUGUUGCACCC
rnacentral:rRNA from 1 species